rnacentral:rRNA from 1 species
AUUGAACGCUGGCGGCAGGCCUAACACAUGCAAGUCGAACGGUAACAGGAAGCAGCUUGCUGCUUUGCUGACGAGUGGCGGACGGGUGAGUAAUGUCUGGGAAACUGCCUGAUGGAGGGGGAUAACUACUGGAAACGGUAGCUAAUACCGCAUAACGUCGCAAGACCAAAGAGGGGGACCUUCGGGCCUCUUGCCAUCGGAUGUGCCCAGAUGGGAUUAGCUAGUAGGUGGGGUAACGGCUCACCUAGGCGACGAUCCCUAGCUGGUCUGAGAGGAUGACCAGCCACACUGGAACUGAGACACGGUCCAGACGCCUACGGGAGGCAGCAGUGGGGAAUAUUGCACAAUGGGCGCAAGCCUGAUGCAGCCAUGCCGCGUGUAUGAAGAAGGCCUUCGGGUUGUAAAGUACUUUCAGCGGGGAGGAAGGGAGUAAAGUUAAUACCUUUGCUCAUUGACGUUACCCGCAGAAGAAGCACCGGCUAACUCCGUG